rnacentral:lncRNA from 1 species
CUCCAUGAACCGGGUCAUUGAAGUGCCCAAUAUUUAUGAUCCAGACUGCAAUGCAAAUAAGGGAGAUGACUUUGGAAAGCUGUUCCCCAAAUUCAUCUAGUUUUUGCUGAAGGGGUGUUCUCUCCUGUUCUGUUGCCACCAUUUCAUCCCGGAUCUUGCCAAUUUCGGUGUUAACUCCAGUUGCUACCACCACUCCCAUAGCUUUCCCAGCAGCAAUGUUUGUACCAGAAAACAGCAUGUUCUUUUUAUCUUGGUUGACAGCUCGUGGGUCAGGGACGGGAUCAGUGUGCUUGAUGACAGAGACAGAUUCACCUGUGAGAAUUGACUGGUCAACUCUUAGUGUGGUAGAUUUGAUGGAAGUUAAC